UAGUUUGUCCUUGCCGUCUUCCUGCAUGUCCUGGAAGGAGUGGACAUGAGUCUGCACUAGAAUGCUGAGGUUAAAAACCAGAAGGGAAACCUCCAAGGAGCCGCCCCCUGUGACAUGCACCUGCCCCGGGGUGGUUCUCUAGGCACUCAGGGUAGGUUUCUCUUAUAGGUGGAAAAGGAACAGUUGAACCUAAAACUACUGGAUGCAGUGGCUGAACGUGAAGGACUACGAGGGCAUUAAGGAACAGAGAGCAGCACCUUUCAAAGGGCUGCCCUCGGCGGCGGCGGCAAAUUCAUCAUGCACGCUGCAGCCAGGAUUUAUUUUUCCUCUCACUUGUGUAGCAAUCCCGGUUUCCAUUUUAAUAUUUAGAAGUGUCUCCCCAGCAGCAGUGGCUGUCCACUGCUUACCUCCCUGAGGCCGCCACCAGCCAUACAAGCACCCAGACGCAGCUGCAUCACUCGCCGCUCACUGCACAGCCAGCAAAGGACGUUAUGCAGAGAGGCACCAGAGUUCCAAAUGCCAAACUUCAGGCCCUGCACACUAAUAAAGCCUCCUGCAGAGAAAAAUCCUGAAUGGAGAUUUUCCUAGAAAAGCUUGCCCAGGAGCCCUGAUGACACCAAAGAGGUAUUUCUAGUCCUCUGUCCAUCUCUCACCCAAGUACAGACAUUUGCAGCUACUUUCUCUAAAGAGAAAAAUGUAUGCGUAUGAAAGACUUUAAAAUGCAACAGGACAAACUAAAAAAAAAAAAAAUGGAUGUGACCAGCGAGUCUCCUCUGCCCACGCCCUAAGUGUAGAAGCAGAGGACUGGGCUCCAUCACACUGGUAUCAGAAAAAUCAGAGAACGUCCUCUAUCCAGCCCUUUACUGGGUGGUACCGGUAUUCAUGGUUGUAAGUAGUUCUGCAUUCAGAGUUGUAUCUUGGGUUUCCUUCUGGUGGUGAAAAAAAUCCCAUGUCAGCACAGCCUUUUUAUUCAGUUAUGUCAAGAGAAAAAACUUCCAGAAAAGCAAAUGAAAAGCAAGACACACUGGCUUCUAAAGAAGUUCCAUAUUUAUUUGACAUAGUUUUACCAUACACAUCUCAUGCCAACACACAGGAGGCACAUACAAACAAACGCACCAGCUUCUGUGUUCCAAAGCCACAUGGCAAUAAAUAAGAAUGAGUGGGUCCCUUUUUUUUUUUCUUUUUCUUUCUUUUUUCCCCAGGAAAUGAGACUUCAUUUCUUUUUAACUGUACAAAAUUUACACUGUGAAGGGUGAGGGCAACAAUCCAGAGCUUAGGGGAUCUGGGGCUUUGAGGUCUGAGUGCAAGUUCAGAGCAGCUUCUGGGAGCCUGCAGCCCUGAACCUGCGUGUUUAGCUAAACACAGUCCUCAAGUGGGGAACGUACAAAUGACUCUUGUCUCUAGGUGGGCAGCAGAUGGGCGUGGGCGUGUCCUGCUUUGUCCACCUGUGCUCUGUCUCCCGAGGCGAAGGGAUGCUUGGCGCGCCUCCCAGACCUGCAGCUGACUCCUCACCAGAGCUAGCAGCGUGAAAGUGUGCUUUCAGUGUGGUCCUACCAAGCAGUGUGUGGAUGGGAUGACUUUGCUGCGCUCUCUCUUUUUGGCUCCAGUCACCGUGUGAGAGCAGUUGGAGCAACUACUGCAAAAAGGGCCAAUUGACCAAUCCAAGAAAGAGAGAGCCAGUGAUGUGCUUUUUAUUUAGCUUUCAGCAUGCCCAGAGCCCUUCAGCAGCAGGCAAUAAAACAAAACUCAUUUCCGCUUAA